rnacentral:lncRNA from 1 species
UGAAUCCUGGCACUUUGAACAUAUUAGUUAGGGUGAAUAAAGGACCUCUUGCCAAUCCAAUUUGGAAUGUGACUGGAUUCACGGGUAGAGAUUGGCUUCGGGCUGAGCUAGCAGUGAGCACCUUUUGGCCCAAUGAAUAUCAGAGACGAAAUGGAGAAGAUAUACCAGUAGCCCAGACUAAGAACAUCAAUCAUAGAAGGUUUGCCGCUUCCUUCAGAUUGCAAGAAGUGACAAAAACUGACCAGGAUUUGUAUCGCUGUGUAACUCAGUCAGAACGAGGUUCCGGUGUGUCCAAUUUUGCUCAACUUAUUGUGAGAGAACCGCCAAGACCCAUUGCUCCUCCUCAGCUUCUUGGUGUUGGGCCUACAUAUUUGCUGAUCCAACUAAAUGCCAACUCGAUCAUUGGCGAUGGUCCUAUCAUCCUGAAAGAAGUAGAGUACCGAAUGACAUCAGGAUCCUGGACAGAAACCCAUGCAGUCAAUGCUCCAACUUACAAAUUAUGGCAUUUAGAUCCAGAUACCGAAUAUGAGAUCCGAGUUCUACUUACAAGACCUGGUGAAGGUGGAACGGGGCUCCCAGGACCUCCACUAAUCACCAGAACAAAAUGUGCAG